UAUCUACUGUAAAAUGCUAGACUUGUUAAAAUCUGAUUAAUGACAAGGUGAGAUGAAAUUCUUUAUGUAUAUUUUCAGGAUGCCAAUUUUUAAUAGUAGUGCAAGAAGAAUGCUUGCUACCACAGAUGGCUUCUGUCCCAUGAAGAAAUCAGGACCUAAUGGCUGUGAGUCAUCUGAGCAUCAACGAUUCAAAGUGGUCAUCAUCACAAGCAACAGUAAGUAUCUGAAUUUAUUAAUAGUGUUACUUACAGCUUUUUCUUUUCUCUUCUGUUUGAUCAUGUUAGAGAGAACUUUAGCUCGGGACUGGCCCUCUCUGU